rnacentral:rRNA from 1 species
UACGUAGGGGGCAAGCGUUGUCCGGAUUUAUUGGGCGUAAAGAGCGUGUAGGCGGCUAGAUAGGUCCGUUGUGAAAACUCGAGGCUCAACCUCGAGACGUCGAUGGAAACCAUCUGGCUAGAGUCCGGAAGAGGAGAGUGGAAUUCCUGGUGUAGCGGUGAAAUGCGCAGAUAUCAGGAAGAACACCAAUGGCGAAGGCAGCUCGCUGGGACGGUACUGACGCUGAGACGCGAAAGCGUGGGGAGCGAACAGG